rnacentral:tRNA from 1 species
GUACAAAUAGUAUAUAGUAUAUUCAUUUUCCAAAUGAAAGGUCAAGCCCUCUUUAAUUAGGCUUGUUAGUACA